CGCUGGCGGCGCGUCUUAAGCAUGCAAGUCGAACGGCAAGAGGUAGCAAUACCUCCUAGAGUGGCGGACUGGUGAGUAACACGUGGGUGACAUACCCUUCAGAUGGGGAUAGCUAUUAGAAAUAGUAGAUAAUACCGAAUACGAGCACAGGGGUUAGAGAUCUGUGAGGAAAGGAGCUAAGGCUCCGCUGAAGGAAUGGCCUGCGGCCCAUUAGCUAGUUGGUGAGGUAAGAGCCCACCAAGGCGAUGAUGGGUAUCCGGCCUUAGAGGGUGAACGGACACAUUGGGACUGAGAUACGGCCCAGACUCCUACGGGAGGCAGCAGCUAAGAAUAUUCCGCAAUGGACGAAAGUCUGACGGAGCGACGCCGCCGUGGAUGAAGAAGGCCGGAAGGUUGUAAAAUCCUUUUGAAACUGAAGAAUAAGCGUUGUAGGGAAUGACAGCGUGGUGACAGUAGGUUUUGAAUAAGCAACGGCUAAUUACGUGCCAGCCGCCGC
rnacentral:rRNA from 1 species